ensembl:lncRNA
UUUUUGGCCUUGCUCUUGCUGAGACUGGUCUAUCUGGGGAUGGACCUUUGGAAGGUAUCUUGCUGCAUGGAUGUUGCUGGUUCUUCACAUUGGUUAGACUCCUGGCUGUGCCUCUGGCUUGCAUUGUAGCCUGUUUGGUGCGUUUUGCAUGCAGUAGAAUCGAUCAAAGCUUCUUGUUGUGGUAUCUACGUGGUAUAAUGUUACCUAAGGGAGGAGACAAGCCCGUGUGAGAUAUCAAAGAGAAGGCCUCUUUCCCAGAAGUCACACUCGGUAUUUUUGUUGGACCAACACCUCCUGCCUCUAGCCAGAGAAGCAGCUUAAGCCACAGCGCUGAGUCGUUUUGCUUUACGUAGACUUGAAAUGUGUCAAACAUUGGUGGUGCCUCAAUCCUUGCUUUGUUUCCAUUGACUUGGACAAUGGAGGUCCAAUCCUCUGUUGAAGUGAGGAUGGUUUGCAAAGACUCCAUCCAAUUCGGCGCUGGUUUUCAAACCACUGCAGUCUUUUAGGAGAUGGAGAGUGGGUUUAAAUGAGUACCUCUGAAGUUGCUUCUUUCGGACCAGUUUCUCCCGUAAAUGUUUCCCAACUAUCUAUUUCUGCUUCAAUUGCACAGGAAUGCCAGUGACAUCUUAACUUCCCAGUAAAGUGCACAGGGUGGGAUGUCUUACGUAACUUCCCUGCCCAAGUUGCAUAAAAAUCAGUUCUGCCAAGAAUGUGAGUGCAUUUUGCAUGCAUGUGGAGUUUUAGAUGGGUUUAUAUGGUUUUUGUUUCACUUGCUGGACCUGUUAUCACAUUUCAUCCUUAAAAGUGGUUGAACUUCUCUUUAUUUCUCCUUGGUGGUGGGGAUGGUAACAGGAGAACAGUACAUUCUAUUCCAUUUUAUUUUUAGGUAUAAAAUCAGAGCGUUUAAGGCUUGGCCCCUGUGGAUCAUAAACUUCUGAGUGAAGCAGGUCUCAUUUCAGUGCUGUGUGCUGGUGCAGCACAAGAUGAUUCUGGCAGAUGGUAGCAAACAGUACUUGAAGGCAGAUGAUGACAAAGAGGGCUUGCUCUGGGCAAGAUGUGAUUUACCUCCUGCUCACUUCCAAACAUCCCAAAGCUUUGCCAAAUCCUCUAUUUUGAAGAAAAACUGGGAUAUCAUAUUUAAAGCUUUCAGGAGAGAAAGCUGUGCUUGAAAGAGGUAAACUAAGGUCAGCUGAAAAAGAAGGAAGAAAUCCACUGGCUGCUGAGCUGUGCGCAUGUGUGCAGGCAGAUCUGAUGUUGCUGGCUGGGUAAGGAGCAUCUCUAGGAAAGGGCUUCUGUAAGAGCAGUGCUCUGUUGCCCUGCAGUAAUGCUACCAGGUGCAACAAAGUGU